GGCAGUCGGGGCCUAAUGGUUAGAGAAUCAGACUUGGAACCUGAAGGUCACGGGUUUGAGUCUCAGGUCUGGCA